rnacentral:rRNA from 1 species
CAAUAGCGUAUAUUAAAGUUGUUGCAGUUAAAAAGCUCGUAGUUGGAUUUCUGAUCGAGACAUCAGGUCGGGUCCGAGAGGAUCAUGUACUUUGAUUUUGUUUUGAUCAUCCUUGGGGAGAGUAUUUCUGGCAUUCAGUUGUCGGGAUUGGGAUCCUCAUCGUUUACUGUGAAAAAAUUAGAGUGUUCAAAGCAGGCCUCGGCCUCUGAAUACAUUAGCAUGGAAUAAUAAGAUAGGACUUUGGUGGUCUAUUUUGUUGGUUUGCACGCCAAAGUAAUGAUUAAUAGGGAUAGUUGGGGGUAUUCGUAUUCAAUUGUCAGAGGUGAAAUUCUUGGAUUUAUGGAAGACGAACUACUGCGAAAGCAUUUACCAAGGAUGUUUUCAUUAA